GCAUCCUGAGUGUAAUCACAAUAGGUAGGUGAAUAUAUUUAUUUAUUUUACUGAUUUCAAACUGAUUGUUUUGUAGUAUCUUUAUCUCUCUCUUUCUCUUACUCAUUCAUAUAUAUGUGUAUAUAUAUAUAUAUAUAUAUAUAUAUAUAUAUAUAUAUAUAUAUAUAUAUAUAUAUAUAAACACACAUGUAUAUACAUAUAUAUAUACAUACAAUUAUAUAUAUAGGUAUAUACACACAUAUAUAUAUAUAAACAUAUAUAUGUAUGUAUGGAAUGGGUGGGUGUGCGUGUGUAUAUAUGAUAAACGAUGAGAAAGCGCUGGAAACUGUUUAAUUUAUGACCAUAUAUAUAUAUAUAUAUAUAUAUAGUUUGAGUAAAACAAGUUUGAUUUUUAACGUAUGGGAAACUAGUUUUUUUUCCAUUUAUUUAAACAAAUUUAACUAAAACUAUAAAGAUAUGUUUUUACAUAUAACAAAUAUUUACUCAUAACAGUUUUAAUGAAAAUAUAUUCAUACAUGUUUCCACAAGGCGAGAUUUACACACACAGACACACAAACACACACACACACAUUUAUUCAUAGUUUUCGUUGGUUUAUAUCUGCAUUUAUGUUCGUCUCAAAAACCAGUUUGCUUUUAUGUUGAGUAGUCUUAAGUCCCAUAAUAUAGCAGUUCAGCAAAUGAAGUCUGAUGAAAUAUGAACCCGACUGAAUAAAGAAAUAGAAUGCUAUAUAUAUAUAUAUAUAUAUAUAUGUGUGUGUGUGUGUGUGUGUGUGUGUGUGUGUGUGUGUGUGUGUGUGUGUGUGUGCGUGCGUGUGUCUGUGAGUCUGUGAGUGCGUGUUAACACAUUCUUUUAUAUCUAGUUAUAAAACUUUCUACUAUAGGCACAAGUGCUUAUGUGCUACGUAUUUUAUUGACCCCAAAAUAAUGAAAGGCAAAGUUGACCUCGGCGGAAUCCGAACUCAGAACAUAAAGACAGCCAAAAAGCCGUUAGGCAUUUUAUCCAGCGUGCAAAAGAUUCUGCCAGCUCGCCUUACUCUUUACUCUUUUACUUGUUUCAGUCAUUUGACUGCGGCCAUGCUGGAGCACCGCCUUUAGUCGAGCAAAUCGACCCCGGGACUUAUUCUUUGUAAGCCCAGUACUAAUUCUAUUGGUCUCUUUUGCCGAACCGCGAAGUGACGGGGACGUAAACACACCAGCAUCGGUUGUCAAGCAAUGCUAGGGGGACAAACACAGACACACAAACACACACACACAUAUAUAUAUAUAUAUAUAUACAUAUAUACAUAUAUACGACAGGCUUCUUUCAGUUUCCGUCUACCAAAUCCACUCACAAGGCAUUGGUCGGCCCGGGGCUAUAGUAGAAGACACUUACCCAAGGUGCCACGCAGUGGGACUGAACCCGGUUGGUAAACAAGCUACUUACCACACAUUUCUAGUCAAAAUAAAAAAAUGAAAAAAAAAAACAAACAAAAGAAUUUAACGUUCAACUAACGAAUUAUUCGAUACUUAUUGUGGAGUACAUGUUUUUGAUACUAUUACAAAAAGAUAAGUGACAGUCAAUUCGAAGUUUCGGCCUACCAGCUUUCGUCGCCCUGUCCGAUAUAUAUGUGUAGAUGUGUGUGUGUAUAUACAUAUACAUAUACGUACAUAUAUAUAUAUAUAUAUAUAUGCAUAUAUAUGUGUAUAUAUAUAUAUGUAUAUAUGCAUGUAUGUAUACAUACAUAUAUAUAUAAAUACAUACAUGUGUAUAUAUAUAUGUAUAUAUGUAUAUGUAUAUAUAUAUAUAUAUAUAUAUAUAUAUAUAUACAAAUAUAUAUACAUACAUAUAUAAAUAUGUAUAUAUAUAUAUAUGUAUAUAUAUAUAUAUAUAUAUGUAUGUAUAUAUAUAUAUAUGUAUAUAUAUAUAUAUAUAUACAAAUAUAUAUAUACAUACAUAUAUAAAUAUGUAUAUAUAUAUAUAUAUAUAUAUAUAUAUAUAUAUACUCAUAUAUUGCACGUGUUUUGAGAUCAUAAUAAAACAGUAAACAUGUGAUUAACUACAGAAGGGACUCUCUAUAUGUCUAGGAAUACCUGUUAUUGAUUUUAUUGACAGUCAAUAAUUUUUAAUGUGUGUAGUCGCUCACAUCCGGCAAAGCCGACGAUCAGAGAUGCGAUUUAACCACAAGGCAAACCAGCUGGCAGGAUCGUUAGAGCGUAGGACAAUAUGUCAUACGUUAUCUCUUCUGGUUUCGAUAAAAUAAAACCCCAGUGGAGGAGUGGGUUCGAUGUAAUGCCUGCCCAUUAAAAUUUCGCCUCUUGUGGCUGGUUUUGGUUUGGAAGCACUCCGUCGGUUACGACGACGAGGGUUUCGGUUGAUCCGAAUCAACGGAACAGCCUGCUCGUGAAAUUAACGUGUAAGUGGCUGAGCACUCCACAGACACGUGUACCCUUUACGUAGUUCUCGGGGAUAUUCAGCGUGACACAGAGAGUGACAAGGCCGGCCCUUUGAAAUACAGGUACAACAGAAACAGGAAGUAAGAGUGAGAGAAAGUUGUGGUGAAAGAGUACAGCAGGGAUCAGCACCAUCCCCUGCCGGAGCCUCGUGGAGCUUUAGGUGUUUUCGCUCAAUAAACACUCACAACGCCCGGUCUGGGAAUCGAAACCGCGAUCUAGUGUAGUACAAGCAGAAUCGUUACCGCGCCUGGAAAUAAUAUGCUUAGCGGUAAUUUCGUUUGUCGCAAUGUUCUGAGCUGAAAUUUCCGCCGGGGUCGACUUUAUGUUUCGGGAUCAAUAAAAUAAGCCCCAGUUGAACAUUGGGAUCGAUGUAAUCGACUCAUCCCCACCGCUCCAAAGCUGCCCUUGGGGGCAAAAAUUUGAAAUAAUAAUAAUAAUAAUAAUAAUAAUAAUAAUAAUAAUAAUAAUAAUAAUAAUAAUAAUAAUAAUAAUAAUAAUGAUAAUAAUAAUAAUAAUAAUAAUAAUAAUAAUAAUAAUAAUAAUAAUAAUAAUAUUAAUAAUAAUAAUAAUAAUAAUAAUAAUAAUAACGCCCUAAAUAUUCUGCCACCUCGCUGCCUUAUUUCUACUCAAAAUAAAAGAUUUAGAAAUAAAAGUAGUAGUAGUAGUAAUAAUAAUAAUAAUAAUAAUAAUAAUAAUAAUAAUUAUUAUUAUUAUUAUUAUUAUUAUUGUUAUUAUUAUAAUUAUUAUUGUUAUUGUUGUUGUUGGUGUUGUUGUUGUUGUUGUUAUUAUUAUUAUUAUUAUUAUUAUUAUUAUUAUUAUUAUUAUUAUUAUUAUCAUUGUUAUUAUUAUUUUACUUUAUUAUUAUUAUUAUUGUUGAUGUUAUUGUUGUAGUUAUUAUUAUUACUAUUAACAUUAUUAUUAUUAUUAUUAUUAUUAUUAUUAUUAUUAUUGUUAUUAUUAUUAUUAUUAUCAUCAUCAUCAUUAUUAUUAUAUAAGGUGGUGAGCUGGUAGAAUCAUUAGCACCCCGGGCAAAAUGCUUAGUGGCGUUUCGUUCGUCUUUACGUUCUGAGUUCAAAUUCCACCGAGGUUGCCUUUUACCUUUUACCUUUUACCUUUCGAUAAAUUAAAAACCAAUGAAACAUCAGGGUCCUUGUAAUUGACUAGUCCUCCCACCCCAUCCCGAAAUUUCAAGCCUCGUGCCUUUAGUAGGAAAGGUCACUACUACUACUACUACUACUACUACUACUACUACUACUACUACUACUACUACUACUGCUGCUGCUGCUGCUGCUGCUGCUACUACUACUACUACAACAACUACUACUACUGUAUUUGUGCGUGUACGAAUAUAAGUAAAGCGUGUGAGAGUGGUGCACGCGCGUAUCCCUUUGUGUGUGUUUAUAUAUAUGUAUAUAUAUAUGUAUAUAUAUAUGUAUAUAUAUAUGUAUAUAUAUAUACACACACACACACACAGAUAUAUAUAUAUAUAUAUAUACACUUAAUAAUACUUAAGUAUAUAUAUAUAUAAAUAUAUAUAUACACAUACAUCUAUACACACACACACACACACACACACACACACAUAUAUAUAUAUAUAUAUAUAUAUAUACAUAUAUAUAACGGGAAGCUUUAUGAAAAUAAACAAAAGACGAAGGCAGGUGGAAAACAAACGAACAAUUGUAUUAGUAUGGCGCUCAGGAAAUAUAAAUAAAACAAGUCUUUAACGUUUCGAGCCUACGCUCUUCAACAGAAAGAUACACAGAGAGAGAAAAACACAGAAAGAAGGAGAGAAAAAAAAUGCGUGCAGUAGCUAACGAAUCAACAUGGCGAUCUGAUUUCGGCCAGAGGUCAAAGAUCAAACAUGAGACGCGAGAGCGAAAUAAGGGGAGAUAAUAGGGUUGAUAAAAGGGUUGAGGGACCAGCUAAAAGUGCGUGGGAGGGGUCUGGAUGUGUGUAUGUAUAGGGUUGGUGUAUGUAUUAGUAUGUAUAAGUGGUGUGUGUGUGUGUGUGUGUGUGUGUAUGAGAGAGUAUUAGUGCGUAAGAUUGGUCUGGACGUGCGUAUGUAUGGGGUUGGUGUAUGUAUUAGUAUGUAUUAGUAUGUAUUAGUACGUAUUGGUAUGUAUAGGUGUGUGUGUGUGUGUGUGUGAGAGAGUAUAUAUAUAUAUAUAUAUAUACGUAUGUACACAUUAUAUUGUUCAUACACAUACAUAUACGAUACAUGCACGCACACAAACUACAGUAUAUGCUUACAGCUUUACGUAAACGCUUCUGCUUAAUGUCCAAUAGAAUAACAUGCAUACAGGCACAAAUUUGGUCACGUGUAUAUGCAUACACAUAGACGCACACACAUACACAGAGACUAGUGCAAGCAAAGCAGCAGUGUGCACACAAACACACACACACACACACACAUGUACAUCUAUAUAUAUAAAACUGUAGUUGUGUGAGUGUCUGUCCCCUUCGAUUUAGAUUCCUAACUACUCCCACAUUUUGCGGUGCUGUUUAACCAAAUUCGGGUAUCUUAUAGUCGUGAUUCAUAUCGAGCCCGUCUGAGUAUUAGCGCGCGUCUACGAUGAGUCUACAAUUUUAAAAAUAAUUUAACAUCAUUUUUUAUUCCAUUUUAAUGCAUAAUUUUUCGUGUGUCGAUGGCGGCGGAGUUGGCGUCCAUGGUCACACCUGCACCUGUUUGCUUCUCCCCCUUCUCCCCCUUCUUCCCUCCUUCGUGAAGCUGUGGGAAGGGAGUGUAAGGAAAUCAACGUCGUAAAGCGUUGUCAAGGAGACCAGCGUUCUUUUAGAACAACGACUUCAUGGCUUGAAGACACCAAAACAGAAAUGGCUAAGAAAGCCCGAAUUGGCAUCUAUAAGGGAAGUAACUCUCUAAAAAUGCUUAUAUAGUUAUUUCCCUUACAAACCCGAGCAACGCCGGGCGAUACUGCUAGUAUAUAAUACAUACAUUCAUACAUACAUACAUUUUUAUUUGGCGAGCUGGUAGAAUUGUUAGCAUACUGGAAACAAAAAGCUUAGCGGCAUUUCGUUUGCCGUUACGUUCUGAGUUCAAAUUCUGCCGGGGUGGACUUCACCUUUUGUUCGUUCAAGGUUGAUACAAUAAGUACCAGUUGACCACUGGGGUCGAUAUCAAUGCCUUUCUGUUUAGUAUACAUACUAUGGCGUCAAAGAUAUACAUAAACGAUGCAUGCAUGCAUUCAUGUAUGUAUGUAUGCAUGUAUGUAUGUAUGUAUGCAUGUAUGCAUGUAUGCAUGUAUGUAUGUAUGUAUGUAUGUAUGUAUGUAUGUAUGUAUGUAUGCAUGUAUGUAUGUAUGUAUGUAUGUAUGUAUGUAUGCAUGCAUGCAUGCAUGUAUGUAUGCAUGCAUGCAUGUAUGUAUGUAUGUAUGUAUGUAUGCAUGUAUGCAUGUAUGCAUGUAUGUAUGUAUGUAUGUAUGUAUGUAUGUAUGCAUGUAUGUAUGCAUGUAUGUAUGUAUGUAUGUAUGUAUGUAUGCAUGUAUGUAUGUAUGUAUGUAUGUAUGUAUGCAUGCAUGUAUGUAUGCAUGUAUGUAUGUAUGUAUGUAUGUAUGUAUGUAUGUAUGUAUGUAUGUAUGUAUGUAUGUAUGUAUGUAUGUAUGUAUGUAUGUAUGUAUGUAUGUAUGUAUGCAUGUAUGUAUGUAUGUAUGCUUGCAUGAAUAAAAGAAUAUCUAUAUGUGAAUGUGUGUUCAUAUGUGUCUACGUAUAUAUACGCCAUGAUAGAUCGUUAGCUCCUACACGCAUUUUUUUCUCCCCUUGUUUCUCUCCUUGUUUUUUUUUCUGUGUAUCUUUCUGUCGAAGAGCGUAGGCUCGAAACGUAAAAGACUUUUUCUAUUUCUAUUCCUGAGCGCUAUACUAAUACAUUUGUUUAUUUGUACUCUACCUGCCUUCGUCUUUUGUUUAUUUUCGUAAACUUUCCCGUUAGACAUAUAUGUGUACAUACAUAUUUAUAUAUCUAUACGUAUAUACAUAUUAUGUGUGAGUAUGGGUGUGUGUGAAAGUAAGCCCAAACAGAGGUUGAUUGUCUAUGUAUCUAUCAUAAUAGAUAGAUAGAUAGAUAGAUAGAUAGAUAGAUAGAUAGAUAGAUAGAUAGAUAGAUAGAUAGAUAGAUAGAUAGAUAGAUAGAGGUAGGUAGGUAGGUAGAUAGAUAAAUGGAUUGAUAGAUAGAUAGAUAGAUAGAUAGAUAGAUAGAUAGAUAGAUAGAUAGAUAGUUAGAUAGAUAGAUAGAUAGAUAGAUAGAUAGAUAGAUAGAUAGAUAGAUAGAUAGAUAGAUAGAUAGAUAGAUAGAUGCCACGAGCAUGUCUAUUUGUUUUGCCAUACAAAUGGUGGUCCGCGGACCGGUGCUGGUCCGCGAGCCAUCAGCUGCUGGUAUGCGGCGAGCUUCCAGUAAAGAAAGAAACGUUACAAAAGGCUUAUAAAAUGCUAAUGUAAUAUUAUAUUAUUUGUUUACAAAAUAAACAUACUCUACUCUCUUUUUUACUCUUUUACUUGUUUCAGUCAUUUGACUGCGGCCAUGCUGGAGCACCGCCUUUAGUCGAGCAAAUCGACCCCGGGACUUAUUCUUUGUAAGCCCAGUACUUAUUCUAUCAGUCUCUUUUGUCGAACCGCCAGGUGACGGUGACGUAAACACACCAGCAUCGGUUGUCAAGCAAUGCUAGGGGGACAAACAGAGAUACACAACCCCCCCCCACACACACACAUAUAUAUAUACAUAUAUACGACAGGCUUCUUUCACUUUCCGUCUACCAAAUCCACUCACAAGGCAUUGGUCGGCCCGGGGCUAUAGCAGAAGACACUUGCCCAAGAUGCCACGCAGUGGGACUGAACCCGGAACCAUGUGGUUGGUUAGCAAGCUACUUACCACACUCCUGCGCCUACGUUAAAAAAAAUGUCAACUUUUAUUAUAUUCAUUAUAUAUAUUGUUUCCGGUAUAAAUUAAUAUUACUAAGAAAUAUUACCGGUCCCUGGCACAUUGGAAAAAUAAACUGCCGGUACGCCAUUUCUGAUCAUUUGAGAAGCACUGAUUUAGAUGGCGACCUAAUCUAUGUU
rnacentral:lncRNA from 1 species